rnacentral:tRNA from 1 species
AAGGUACUAGUAAAACCAUUACCCUGCCUUGUCGAGACAGAAUUGUAGGUUAAACCCCUACGUACCUUA